GGGGCAUUAGCUCAGUUGGGAGAGCGCUUGUCUGGCAGACAAGAGGUCAGCGGUUCGAGUCCGCUAUGCUCCACUA
rnacentral:tRNA from 1 species